rnacentral:rRNA from 1 species
GUACACGCUGUGACUAGCAUAUCAAUAAGCGGAGGAAAAGAAACUAACAAGGAUUCCCCUAGUAACGGCGAGUGAAGCGGGAAGAGCUCAAAUUUGAGAUCUUAAAGGGUUUCCCUUUACGAAUCGUAGUUUAAAGAAGUGUUUUCUGUUGAGGUUUUGGUAAAAGUUCUUUGGAAUAGGACAUCAUAGAGGGUGAGAAUCCCGUAUUUGACCUUUACUUUCAACUUUGUGAUACACUUUCAAAGAGUCGGAUUGUUUGGGAAUGCAGUCCAAAAUGGGUGGUAAAUUUCAUCUAAAGCUAAAUAUUGGCGAGAGACCGAUAGCGAACAAGUACCGUGAGGGAAAGAUGAAAAGAACUUUGAAAAGAGAGUUAAACAGUACGUGAAAUUGUCAAAAGGGAAGCGUUUGACACCAGUGUUGUUUUUCUGAAAAUCAAUUAAAGAACUGUUUAUGCUAAGCUGUUUAGACUUUAUCAGCUAUCUGUUUAGUUUUGAGCUUUUCUUUAAUGCACUUUUCAGUUAACAAGUCAACAUCAAUUUCUUUUGCUGUAAAAAAGCUUGAGGAAGGUGGCUUGAGAUUCGUCUUAAGUGUUUAUAGCCUCUUGCCUAUGCAGUCGGAGAGAUUGAGGUCUGCAGCGUAGAUCCUUCGGGGCUAAAUGCAUUUGUGCUAAGUUAUAGCAUUUUAUAGACAACUUGUUGACUAUGAUUUGUCUUGUAGCUUACUCGCUUAUGUUAUUUUACCUACGCUUAGGAUGUUGACGCGCGUGUGUGCGUG